GCAACGUGGAUAUUCCUGGGAGGUUACUCUCCCCAGGCUCUGUCCUGGUGGCCUAGGGGAGCGUAGGGCUCUGCCCUGUGACGUAUAGUCCCUUUCCACGACGUUGGAGAUGGAGCUGGGCCUGGAGUCUGCACCUGCAUAUUCCUACAGCUUCUCAGAGUCCUCUGGACAAUGACUGAGGAGACAAACCAUGCAGGAAACAUGU
ensembl:snoRNA SNORA73 Small nucleolar RNA SNORA73 family